GACGAACGCUGGCGGCGUGCCUAAUACAUGCAAGUCGAACGCAGUGGGGACGGGUGAGUAACACGUGGGUAACCUCCCAUCAGAGGGGAUACCACUUGGAAACAGGUGCUAAACCGAUACUGAUGGAUGGACCCGCGGUGCAUUAGCUACUUGGUGAGGUAACGGCUCACCAAGGGCACGAUGUAUAGCCGACCUGAGAGGGUGAUCAGACACACUGGGACUGAGACACGGUCCAGACUCCUACGGGAGGCAGCAGUAGGGAAUCUUCGGCAAUGGACGCAAGUCUGACCUAGCAACGCCGCGUGAGUGAAGAAGGUUUUCGGAUCGUAAAACUCUGUUGUUGGAGAAGCGGUAUCUAAACAAAAAGCCACGGCUAACUACGUGCCAGCCGCCGCGGUAAUAC
rnacentral:rRNA from 1 species